CAUGUGCACCCCUGUGGAAUCCAGUUCAUCUCCAAUCUGUCAGCAAGCAUCAGAGGUAGUUUUGACUCCUUAUGUCCUGAGCCUGUGCACAAAAUAUACCUUGUGUGGAGGAAAAUGAGAUCCCGAGUGAAGUCUACAAUGUCAUUGACUCUGAAGAAGGACUCAGAGACCCAUUGGUGUUUAAUGACCCUUACUGGCCUAUGCAAUGGGAACUGGUAAGGAAGGGAAAAGAAAGCAGGAAACACUGGAAAGAUAAAUGAGGUCUUUCUUAUGAAGGUGUGUCCCACAGAGAGAUCUAGACCAUUGAUUGGCAUUCACACCUGUGGAAACAAAGUGUCAAUGCUGAUAGAACUGAAAACGUU